GGACAUGUAGCUCAGUUGGUAGAGCGCUUGCCUAGCAUACGGGAAGCCUUGGGUUCCAUCCCCAGCACCA
rnacentral:tRNA from 1 species